rnacentral:rRNA from 1 species
AGUGGCGGACGGGUGAGUAACGCGUAAGAAUCUAACUUCAGGACGGGGACAACAGUGGGAAACGACUGCUAAUACCCGAUGUGCCGCGAGGUGAAACCUAAUUGGCCUGAAGAAGAGCUUGCGUCUGAUUAGCUAGUUGGUGGGGUAAGAGCCUACCAAGGCGACGAUCAGUAGCUGGUCUGAGAGGAUGAGCAGCCACACUGGGACUGAGACACGGCCCAGACUCCUACGGGAGGCAGCAGUGGGGAAUUUUCCGCAAUGGGCGAAAGCCCGACGGAGCAACGCCGCGUGAGGGAGGAAGGUCUUUGGAUUGUAAACCUCUUUUCUCAAGGAAGAAGUUCUGACGGUACUUGAGGAAUCAGCCUCGGCUAACUCCGUGCCAGCAGCCGCGGUAAUACGGGGGAGGCAAGCGUUAUCCGGAAUUAUUGGGCGUAAAGCGUCCGCAGGUGGUCAGCCAAGUCUGCCGUCAAAUCAGGUUGCUUAACGACCUAAAGGCGGUGGAAACUGGCAGACUAGAGAGCAGUAGGGGUAGCAGGAAUUCCCAGUGUAGCGGUGAAAUGCGUAGAGAUUGGGAAGAACAUCGGUGGCGAAAGCGUGCUACUGGGCUGUAUCUGACACUCAGGGACGAAAGCUAGGGGAGCGAAAGGGAUUAGAUACCCCUGUAGUCCUAGCCGUAAACGAUGGAUACUAGGCGUGGCUU